GGAUAACUGUGGUAAUCCUAGAGCUAAUACAUAAAAAUGAUUGUCCGUUAAUGAAACCAGCACACAUAUGUUGUUGAAAGGCUCCAUUGUGUUGUGUAACGGAAUGAAGAAAACGGAAGCGUUUGCUAUUAAGAAAUAGCACUAUGCGUCUUAAAGGUGAAAGAUUUGUCUGUUCAUUUGACGCUGCCCCAAUUGUGGGGAUGAUGAAAGCAUAGCUAAUGUGAAGCGUAUCGGUAUUUCAGCCGGCGCUGUACCCCAAAGGGGACUGCCCUAUCAGCUAGAUUGUAAAUUAUUGGUUUACAAUGGCGAUAACGGGUAACGGGGAAUCAGGGUUCGAUUCCGGAGAGGGAGCCUGAGAAAUGGCUACCACAUCUAAGGAAGGCAGCAGGCACGCAAAUUACCCAUUNUCAGUAUGAGGAGGUAGUGACAAUAAAUAACGAUGCGAGACUCUUCCGAGGCCUUGCAAUCGGAAUGAGUUUGGUUUAAACCAGUGGGCAAUGACCAAUUGGAGGGCAAGUCUGGUGCCAGCAGCCGCGGUAAUUCCAGCUCCAAUAGCGUAUGUUAAAGUUGUUGUGGUUAAAACGCUCGUAGUUGAACAUGAGUUCAAUUGGAGGCACAAAUAGUAGAUGGAAAGUAUGGGCUAGUAGCAUGGUUCGGGCGUCCGUGGUGAUUUUGAGUUGAGAAACGUAUUUCGGUAUGUGGUUAAAACCUACGACUCUCUUUCCUACGCGGCCGACCUGCGCUGCUCACAGAAUUUAUAAAUAAUGAUCCUUUGAGUUAAAGAACAGUAGGAUAUAGCGCGAUACUCGGAAAGGGUGCCCUUAAUUGGGUGUUCCCUUGCGGGGUCGGCAUAUUCACUUUGAGAAAAUUAACGUGCUUAAAGCAGGUCAGCAAGAUGCAUGCCGGAAUGGUAUAUGCAUAGAAUGGAGAAAAAUGACUAAGCUCUCAAUAUGUGCGAGAGAGUCUAAGUAAUGGUGAAUAGGGGUGGUUGGAGGCGUCCGUAUUGCUGCGCGAGAGGUGAAAUUCUUAGACCGUGGCAGGACGAUCAACUGCGAAAGCAUUCGUCUAGAUUGCUUUCAUUAACUAAGAACGAAAGUUAGAGGAUCGAAGGCGAUUAGAUACCGCCCUAGUUCUAACUGUAAACUAUGCUAACCGGAUAUUUGUCAAUGGUUAUACCAAAGACACGAUAAGGCGCCCUCGGGGAAACCAGAGUUUUCUAGUUCCGGGGGUAGUACGGUUGCAAAUCUUAAACUUAAAGGAAUUGACGGAAGGGAACCACAAGGAGUGGAGCGUGCGGCUCAAUUUGACUCAACACGGGAAAGCUUACCAGGGUAAGACACUGGAAGGAUUGACAGUUUGAUAGCACUUUCUUAAUUUAGUGGAUAGUGGUGCAUGGCCGUUCUUAGUUGGUGGAGCGAUUUGUCAGGUUAAUUCCGAUAACGAACGAGAUUUUAUCUUAUUAAAUAGCCUGAGAAUCAGGCACCCUUGGUUCACAGUGGAGGUGAUUAUGAGAUUCGUAGGGGAUAACGCUGAUUUGAAUUGGUACUUGUUUGCCGUUGGGGUUCUGCCAGGUUUGCAUUGUAAUAUUUGGUUGUUGCCAUCGUUUUGAAAGGUCAGCGAUCAUACUAGAGGUGGUCAAAGACAACCUUGAUGGGUCGCUGUGCUGAUCGAUUCGAACCUACCAGUAUUACAGUCAAUUAUUGUGCAGCUCCUUGUGAUGCCGUUAGAAAGGACUAGAUCAUAGAGAAAACUUUAGUAACCUUCGGGUGAAAUAGUUUGUCGAAUCAUGUGUUAAAACAGCCUACACCACAGCUCCACACCACUGGGACCGAUGGGGUGCGUUUUUGGAACACUCAACGAGUGUCUUCUUAGAGGUACCAACGGCGGCCAGUCGUACGAAAUUUAGCAAUAACAGGUCUGUGAUGCCCUUAGAUGUCCUGGGCUGCACGCGUGCGACAAUGGAGUGUCCAGCGCGCAGAUCCUAGGCAGAAACGAUUGAGGCAAUCGCUGAAAGCAGUCAGAAAGUCAGAGAGUCGUAAUUGGAAUUGGGGAUUGUAACUGUUCCCCAUGAACGGGGAAUCCCUUGUAAGCUCAAAUCACUAGUUUGCGCUGAAUACGUCCCUGCCCUUUGUACACACCGCCCGUCGCUACUACCGAUUGAAAGGCCAAGUGAGGGCAUUGGACUGUCUCUCUAGGUAGAAUAACCAGUGCAGUAGGAUACAUUCCAGUUCCUGCUGUGCGUUUACAUAAAAACCACAAGAGUCGAUGGAAAGAUGUCCGAACUGGGCCCUUUAGA
rnacentral:rRNA from 1 species